rnacentral:rRNA from 1 species
AGCAGCCGCGGUAAUUCCAGCUCCAAUAGCGUAUAUUAAAGUUGUUGCAGUUAAAAAGCUCGUAGUUGAAUUUCGGGAUCAAUACGUCGGUCGUACCUCGGUACGUACUAACGUUAUUGAUUUCUCCCUUCUGACGAACCGUGAUGUCAUUAAUUUGGUGUUACGGGGAGUUAGGACUGUUACUUUGAAAAAAUUAGAGUGUUUAAAGCAAGCAAUCGCUCGAAUACAUUAGCAUGGAAUAAUGAAAUAGGACGUUCGAACCUAUUUUGUUGGUUUUUAGGAUCGACGUAAUGAUUAAUAGGGAUAGUUGGGGGCAUUAGUAUUCAAUUGUCAGAGGUGAAAUUCUUGGAUUUAUUGAAGACUAACUACUGCGAAAGCAUUUGCCAAGGAUGUUUUCAUUAAUCAAGAACGAAAGUUAGGGGAUCGAAGACGAUCAGAUACCGUCGUAGUCUUAACCAUAAACUAUGCCGACUAGGGGUCGGAUGAUGUUAAUUUUUAAUGACUCAUUCGGCGCCUUACGG